rnacentral:rRNA from 1 species
UACGUAGGGCGCAAGCGUUGUCCGGAAUUAUUGGGCGUAAAGAGCUCGUAGGCGGUCUGUCGCGUCUGCUGUGAAAACCUGGGGCUUAACCCCGGGCCUGCAGUGGGUACGGGCAGACUAGAGUGCGGUAGGGGAGACUGGAAUUCCUGGUGUAGCGGUGAAAUGCGCAGAUAUCAGGAGGAACACCGGUGGCGAAGGCGGGUCUCUGGGCAACAACUGACGCUGAGGAGCGAAAGCGUGGGGAGCGAACAGG